rnacentral:rRNA from 1 species
ACGAACGCUGGCGGCGUGCUUAACACAUGCAAGUCGAACGGAAAGGCCCUGCUUUUGUGGGGUGCUCGAGUGGCGAACGGGUGAGUAACACGUGAGUAACCUGCCCUUGACUUUGGGAUAACUUCAGGAAACUGGGGCUAAUACCGGAUAGGAGCUCCUGCUGCAUGGUGGGGGUUGGAAAGUUUCGGCGGUUGGGGAUGGACUCGCGGCUUAUCAGCUUGUUGGUGGGGUAGUGGCUUACCAAGGCAUUGACGGGUAGCCGGCCUGGGAGGGUGACCGGCCACAUGGGUACUGAGAUACGGCCCAGACUCCUACGGGAGGCAGCAGUGGGGAAUAUUGCACAAUGGGCGGAAGCCUGAUGCAGCAACGCCGCGUGCGGGAUGACGGCCUUCGGGUUGUAAACCGCAUUCGCCUGUGACGAAGCGUGAGUGACGGUAAUGGGUAAAGAAGCACCGGCUAACUACGUG